AUUGAACGCUGGCGGCAUGCUUUACACAUGCAAGUCGAACGGUAACAGGGUGCUUGCACCGCUGACGAGUGGCGAACGGGUGAGUAAUGCGUCGGAACGUGCCGAGUAGUGGGGGAUAACGCAGCGAAGGUUGUGCUAAUACCGCAUACGUACUGAGGUAGAAAGUGGGGGACCUUCGGGCCUCACGCUAUUCGAGCGGCCGACGUCUGAUUAGCUAGUAGGUGAGGUAAAGGCUCACCUAGGCGACGAUCAGUAGCGGGUCUGAGAGGAUGAGCGGCCACACUGGGACUGAGACACGGCCCAGACUCCUACGGGAGGCAGCAGUGGGGAAUUUUGGACAAUGGGCGAAAGCCUGAUCCAGCCAUGCCGCGUGUCUGAAGAAGGCCUUCGGGUUGUAAAGGACUUUUGUCAGGGAGGAAAUCCCUAGUGCUAAUAACACUGGGGGAUGACAGUACCUGAAGAAUAAGCACCGGCUAACUACGUGCCAGCCGCGGCCGUAA
rnacentral:rRNA from 1 species